UAAGGUGGUUAUAGCGAUAGGGCUCACCUCUUCCCAUCCCGAACAGAGAAGUUAAGCCUAUCAGCGCAGAUGGUACUGCCACUGGUGGGAGAGUAUGUCACCGCCUUUC
rnacentral:rRNA from 1 species